rnacentral:rRNA from 1 species
UACGGAAGGCAGCAGUGGGGAAUAUUGCACAAUGGGCGAAAGCCUGAUGCAGCUAUGCCGCGUGUAUGAAGAAGGCCUUAGGGUUGUAAAGUACUUUCAUCGGGGAGGAAAAACAAAACUAAUAAUUUUAUUUCUUGACGUUACCCGAAAAAGAAGCACCGGCUAACUCCGUGCCAGCAGCCGCGGUAAUACGGAGGGUGCUAGCGUUAAUCAGAAUUACUGGGCGUAAAGAGCACGUAGGUGGUUUUUUUAAGUCAGAUGUGAAAUCCCUGGGCUUAACCUAGGAACUGCAUUUUGAAACUGAAAUACUAGAGUAUCGUAGAGGGAGGUAGAAUUCUAGGUGUAGCGGUGAAAUGCGUAGAUAUCUGGAGGAAUACCUGUGGCGAAAGCGGCCUCCUAAACGAAUACUGACACUGAGGUGCGAAAAGCGUGGGGAGCAAACAGGGAUUAGAUACC